GUACGAGAGGACCGGGAUGGACGCACCGCUGGUGUACCAGUUGUUCCGCCAGGAGCAGUCGCUGGGUAGCUAUGUGGCGGCGAGGAUAAACGCUGAAAGCAUCUAAGCGUGAAGCCCCCUCAAGAUGAGAUUUCCCAUUUCGUAAGAAAGUAAGAUCCCUGAAAGAUGAUCAGGUAGAUAGGUUUGGAGUGGAAGUAUGGCGACAUAUGGAGCGGACAAAUACUAAUCGAUCGAGGACUUAACCU
rnacentral:rRNA from 1 species